rnacentral:rRNA from 1 species
GAUGAACGCUGACAGAAUGCUUAACACAUGCAAGUCAACUUGAACUUCGGUUUGGGUGGCGGACGGGUGAGUAACGCGUACAGAACUUGCCUCACAGCUAGGGACAACAUUUGGAAACGAAUGCUAAUACCUGAUAUUAUGAUUAUAUGGCAUCGUAUAAUUAUGAAAGCUAUAUGCGCUGUGAGAGAGCUUUGCGUCCCAUUAGCUAGUUGGAGAGGUAACAGCUCACCAAGGCGAUGAUGGGUAGCCGGCCUGAGAGGGUGAUCGGCCACAAGGGGACUGAGACACGGCCCUUACUCCUACGGGAGGCAGCAGUGGGGAAUAUUGGACAAUGGACCGAGAGUCUGAUCCAGCAAUUCUGUGUGUACGAUGAAGUUUUUCGGAAUGUAAAGUGCUUUCAGUUGGGAAGAAAAAAAUGACGGUACCAACAGAAGAAGUGAUGGCUAAAUACGUG